rnacentral:rRNA from 1 species
CACAUCUAAGGAAGGCAGCAGGCGCGCAAAUUACCCAAUCCUGACUCAGGGAGGUAGUGACAAGAAAUAACAAUAAACCGGCUUAUGCCGGUUUAAUUGGAAUGAGUACAAUUUAAACAUCUUAACGAGGAACAAUUGGAGGGCAAGUCUGGUGCCGGCAGCCGCGGUAAUUCCAGCUCCAAUAGCGUAUACUAAAGUUGUUGCAGUUAAAAAGCUCGUAGUUGGAUUUCUGUGGGGACGGAGCGGCCGGCCGCACAUCGCGGUUCGAGCUAGCGCUUUCCCUACAUCCUGCCGCGAACCGUGCUACCAUUAAUUUGGUGGCGCCGGGGAUCGGCUCGAUUACUUUGAGAAAAAUAGAGUGUUCAAAGCAGGCCACAUGCCUUGAAUAAGUUAGCAUGGAAUAAUAACUAAGGACUUCGGUUCUAUUUUGUUGGUGUUCGGGACUGAAGUAAUGAUUGAUAGGGACAGUUGGGGCGGUCUGUAUUCCAAAGCGAGAGGUGAAAUUCUUAGACCUUCGGAAGACAAACAGCUGCGAAAGCGUUCCGCAAGGAUGUUCCCUUUGAUCAAGAACGAAAGUUGGGGGAUCGAAGACGAUCAGAUACCGUCGUAGUCUCAACUAUAAACUAUACCAGCUAGGGAUCGGCCAACGUUAUUUUAUACCGACUUGGUCGGCACCUUAUGAGAAAUCAAAGCAUCUGGGUUCCGGGGGGAGUAUGGUCGCAAGGCUGAAACUUAAAGGAAUUGACGGAAGGGCACCACCAGCCGUGGAGCCUGUGGCUUAAUUCGACUCAACACGGGAAAACUUACCAGGUCCAGACAUAGUAAGGAUUGACAGAUUGAUAGCUCUUUCUUGAUUCUGUGGGUGGUGGUGCAUGGCCGUUCUUAGUUGGUGGAGUGAUUUGUCUGGUUAAUUCCGUUAACGAACGAGACCCCAGCCUGCUAAAUAGCGCGUGUGAGCUUUGCUCGCAGCGAGCUUCUUAGAGGGACUAUGAUGCGCGAUAGCACAUGGAAGUUUGGGGCAAUAACAGGUCUGUGAUGCCCUUAGAUGUUCUGGGCCGCACACGGGCUACACUGGCGCCUGCAACGAGCAUAUCAGCUGGCCCGAGAGGGUCUUGGCUAAUCUUUUGAACCGGCGCCGUGCUUGGGAUUGACCUUUGCAAUUGUUGGUCAUGCAACGAGGAAUGCCUUGUAAACGCGAGUCAUCAGCUCGCAUUGAAUACGUCCCUGCCCUUUGUACACACCGCCCGUCGCUCCUACCGAUGAAUGUUCCGAUGAAAUUUUCGGAGAGCACCUGUGAACUUGGCUCUGCCUUGCGAACGGGAGGCUCAAAGUCACUUAAAUCUGAACAUUUCG